rnacentral:rRNA from 1 species
UACGGAAUGUGCAAACGUUAUUCGGAAUUACUGGGUCUUAAAGAGUCUGUAGGCGGCUUGUUAGGUGAGGUGUGAAAAUCCCGUCGGCCCCAACCGAGGAAUUGCGCUUCAAACCGGCAAGCUAGAGGAGGAUAGAGGUGGGCGGAACUGAUGGAUGGAGCGGUGAAAUGCGUUGAUACUCAUCAGGAACACCGGAGGCGAAAGCGGUCCACUGGGUCCUUUCUGACGCUGAUGGACGAAAGCUAGGGGAGCGAACGGG